rnacentral:rRNA from 1 species
AUUGAACGCUGGCGGCAGGCUUAACACAUGCAAGUCGAACGAGCGGCGGACGGGUGAGUAAUGUCUGGGAAACUGCCUGAUGGAGGGGGAUAACUACUGGAAACGGUAGCUAAUACCGCAUACCAUCAGAUGUGCCCAGCUGGGAUUAGCUAGUAGGUGGGGUAAUGGCUCACCUAGGCGCCGAUCCCUAGCUGGUCUGAGAGGAUGACCAGCCACACUGGACCUGAGACACGGUAAAGACUACUACGGGAGGCAGCAGUGGGGAAUAUUGCACAAUGGGCGCAAGUCUGAUGGAGCCAUGCCGCGUGUGUGAAGAAGGCCUUCGGGUUGUAAAGCACUUUCAGCGAGGAGGCGUUACUCGCAGAAGAAGCACCGGCUAACUCCGUGCCAGCAGCCGCGGUAAUAC